ACGUCCGUUACCUCUUCAAACGUCUACCCCUUCCGUAAUGCCUGUUUGUGGACCUGGAGAUGUUCUAACGGCCGUGAUCCCCUGACCGUUAGGGCAAGGCGCGGAAAGAUAAGCCGAUAUCGAAUUUUCUCAGAUUUCGGCGAAAAUUUAAAACUACGGCUGAGUAUUUGAUUUGAGUUUGAGACGAGGACCAAAAUCGUUCAGUUACUUAAAACUGUAUUUCGCCAUUUUCCCUGCUCGAAGCGAAACCCUAAUUUUUGAACGGCUGACCUACCGGCAUGAAGGAAUUAUGUUUAAGCGUUAAAUUUUAACCAAAAAAUUCCCAUUUUUUCCAUGAACAAUUUCUUCAUCUCUGCUUUGCCUCUUGUUUGAAACCCUAAUUACGAGAGCCCGAUUUCCUCCAUAAAAUUUCUCAGGUAAACCUAAUUCCUUGAUCCGGAAUAUUUAUUGAGCCAGUGGUAAUCAGGUACUUUCUCUCUAUUCAUUUGUAGAUAUUGAUAAUUAUCUCUUGUGUGCUAUUCUUUUGGAGAAUUUCAUGAGUUUGAAGAGUGAGAAAUGGAAAAUGAUGGGCCAUUGCUUGGUUGAUACAACAUCUGAAUCAUGAAAAACUUAAUAAAUGAAUAAGUAACGGAAACCAUGAAUUGCGCUGUUUGGUAAAUUAAUUUUGUUGAUUUAUGGAUAGGAUAUGGAAAACCAGCGGGGGAUUAAGAAUGUUGGGGAAUUAUCAGAAAUUUGCAUCAUUGUUAUGGUAUAAGAUGAUAGUUUGUUACUGGUUAUUGGUGGCAUGUUUUCAUCCAGGUUUCAUUCUUCUUCAAAGUGUGAUGUAUGUAGAGUAAAAUGCAGAUCUCUUUGUCAAUUUUGAUGAUGAAGAUUAUUUCCAGCUCACUUUGGAGCAUGCAGAUGGUUUCUUAAAGCUCAAGUUAACUGUUUGUGACAUAAUUAUUAAACAUAAUAGUUAGAUUAUUAAAUGAAAUAUGUUAAAAAGAGUUGCUCUGACCUCUCAAAAAGUAGGAACCAGAGUCUAGACUCUUUGUAUGAGUUUUUAUUUCUUAAAAUUACAUGCUGCUGGUUCAAAACAUUGAAUCCAUUUAGUACCAUUCAUUCUUUUCUUGUAAGUUUGCUUAUACAACUCAUGGAAUAUGUAAAAAAUUACGAGUAUGUUAGAAAUUUCUUUGUUGUUUUGAUAUACAACAGAAAGAAAAGGAAAAUUAUUACUUUGUUUUUAUUGUUUAUGGGUGAUGGUGUUCUUCUCAUUUUGUGUAAUUAAAGGUUCGUGUUGAAUUUGCAACUUGACUGCUUAUUGGACACUAAUACCCUUUCAUAUUUCUAAUCAUGUGCAACUUUACAUAGUUUCUAGUUCUAAAUUAUCUUGUCCAAUAUGUGUCGUUCAUCUUUUAUCGAAUACUCCAUUUUGUGCUAGUUCCUUCGUGCUACAGUUAUGGAUUGUGGGUGUGCUUUCUUGAAUGUUCUUGGAUUUUCCGUCCUAUGUCAAUUCUGGAUUAUUUUCUUUUAUUACAUUAAUGCAUCGGUAUUUUUCUUUUUAUAGUCAGUAUGACUAUGUGCCACAUAGAUAAUGUCUAUGUACGUCACAAAUAGAAUAUGGUGACACACCAUUCAUCGAAUUUGAUCUUGAAUAUGGUUCUAAGUGGGGGCGGCCGGUUUUGGAUUUAUUUUAAGGAGUUUCUACCACUAGGUAAUUCCCAUUAUUUGUUGUUGAUAUGAUUGAUUGAACUCUUACCUGCUGCACUACAAGUCAUUAUGUCGCCAUUACGUGAUUUUGGGAAUUUAAAUGAACUUUACUCCAUAUCUGGUGAUUUGAGAGAUGCCUUAAAAGUACUGUAGAAAAUUGUACAAUUUGUAUGAUAUCCAGUGUCUAUGACAAAAAUCAAGGAGCUGUUCAACAAUUUUUAUCCUUGAGAGACGAGUACAUCAUUUUUGGUCAAUCUUAAUAUUAAAACCACCCUACUCCAUAUCCAUGUUUCCGUUCCCAUCGACCUCCUUCCCAAUGACCCCCUUCAAAUUAUAUUGUCAUUACAUGGCAUUUUCGUCCACCAUUGCUUCCCAUCUGACUGCUGAAAAUGGCCCUACCUGGUCUUCCAAUAUCCCAACUACCCUCUAUCACACUUUGAACCCAUGCCAGCUACCCUCCCUCAUUAUAUAAACAUGAUUUUUAAAGGCUCUUAGUUAUUUUCUGUAUAUUCUUUGGACACUCUUCCUUUCUUGUUCAUAAAAUGAGCGUGGUUUUCUGUUAUUAGAGAUCACUCCUUACAGUGUAUUUAAGCAAAUGAAUCUCUGGAGCUGUUUUCAAAGCAUCCCAUUUUCCAAUCCCCCUUGAAUUUAGUAGAGUGAUAUUUCCUUGUGCAGCUGAUCUCUUCAGGAAUUUUAUUAUAUCACUGCAUAUCCCAUGAUCCCUUCUCUUAUCUUCCUGGGAAAGAAAGAAUUUGUACUUUGGGCUUGCAAAAGUGUUUCUUUUACUGUUGUUCUUCUGGUGGUUAUGCUUUGGGAUGUAAUUUGUACAAAUGCAAUGCCCAAAGUGGUGAGAGCUGGGUUGAUUUAAUAUGAAGUGCUGUGUUAUGUAGUUAUCAGUGAGAUAUAUCAUGUUUAUAUGAUUGUGGCUGAUUUUCACUUUUUUUCUUCUAACUAAAUGACUUCAUUUUUCUUAUAAAGUUUUUUUUUUGUUGCUGUUAUAUACUGUUAUAUAUGAUGCUUACAACUAUAAUAUGUAUAAACGUUGGCAUUUUGGAUGCAUUUGAUAUAUCUUGUAAUUCAUUCUUGUGUCUUGAGUUGCUUCUUUUUUGGCUGCUAAUAGCCUCUCAGUACUUCAGGGUUCAAUUCUGUUUUUCACUCCUUUUUUUCCAAAGAUCAUUUCUACAACUUGAGUUGACAUUUUAAGAGUUUGUAAGUGGUCCUUUCUGUGAGCUUUAAGACUGUAGCUUUCUUGGUGGGCUUUGUAAGUGAAUCACAUAAUAGGUUUCUAGUAGAUUACCUUCUGACGUCUGGUAGUUGAAUGUAAUAGGCUUGGCCAUCUUUUGCUGCAUGCCAUUGGCAUCAUCAAGUGGGGGUGUCUCUGACACAGGUGGAGAGAUUGCAAUACAACUUUUUAUGGAUAGACAAAGUUGGGAAUAAAGGAAUUCAUCUUGUGAACGGAAGGAAAACUAUAUGCCUCACACUGAAAGAUGGACGCUUUGGGAUUCGUGAUAUUUCAGACUUCAACAUUGCAGGCAUGAUGAAGUUGGCAUGGAGAGUCAUGAUUAAUCCAUCCUCUUUAAUAGCAUGUUUUUUAGGCACAGGCAUUUCAAAAACUCAUCUAUAAUGGGGAGCUUUACGAAAGAGUUCUUCGUGUGCGUAGAAGGGUAUACAAAUGCGCAUAUCUUUCUUGCAACACAAUGUUUGAUGAAUUAUUGGGGAUAGCAGGUCAGUGGAUUUUUGGACGGAUCCGUGGUUAUCAGAAAUAUCGAUUGGGGAGUCUUAUGGUAAUCAUAUCUAUAUGACUCUAAGGCCUCUGGCUAAAGCAAAGGUCGUAGACUAUAUACAGGGUUCCCCAUAGACGUUGCAUCUUUUCUCUCCUACAUCUAGCCCUCUAUUAAAAGCAUGGAACUAGGUGGAGCAGGCAUGGGAGGAGGAGGUCGCAUUCAUAAUUCCUUUAAAACCAUAGUGAUUUUUUGGUAUGGACUCACUCUCCUAACGGGCUAUUCUUGGUCAAGGACAUGUAACAUUUUAUUUGGCGCAAGGGUUCUCCCCAACCCAUCUUCAAAAUGCUGUGGUCUUCAAGGUGCCCUCCUAAGGCGAAAUGGUUCUCUUAGUUGACCCUCUAUUACCGACUCCCUACCUCCACUCUAUUGUAGUGGAGAGGGAUCAACGUGGCUUAUGUAUGCAUGCCCUUUUUGCUAUUAUAACAAUGACAAUAUAUGUCAUCUAUUGCUUUAUUUGUUCUAUUACAGGGGAUAUGAAGAUAGAUCGUAUGGAGAUGUGGUAAAAUAUUUAUUUUUUAUUCAUUCAUUGUAUUUACAUUGAGGAAA